rnacentral:rRNA from 1 species
GACGAACGCUGGCGGCGUGCUUAACACAUGCAAGUCGAGCGGUAAGGCCCUUUCGGGGGUACACGAGCGGCGAACGGGUGAGUAACACGUGGGUGACCUGCCCUUAGCUCUGUAAUAAGCCUGGGAAACUGGGUCUAAUACCGGAUAUGACUCCAUGACGCAUGUUGUGGGGUGGAAAGCCUUGUGCGGCUAGGGAUGGGCCCGCGGCCUAUCAGCUUGUUGGUGGGGUGANGGCCUACCAAGGCGACGACGGGUAGCCGGCCUGAGAGGGCGACCGGCCACACUGGGACUGAGACACGGCCCAGACUCCUACGGGAGGCAGCAGUGGGGAAUCUUGCGCAAUGGGACGAAAGCCUGACGCAGCGACGCCGCGUGAGGGA